GCUUAGGGACGACCCUAAACAUGCCUUAAUUUGGUAGGGGACGACCCCU
rfam:Shewanella baltica OS155, complete genome.